AGCGAACGCUGGCGGCAGGCCUAACACAUGCAAGUCGAACGAACCUUUCGGGGUUAGUGGCGGACGGGUGAGUAACACGUGGGAACGUGCCUUUAGGUUCGGAAUAACUCAGGGAAACUUGUGCUAAUACCGAAUGUGCCCUUCGGGGGAAAGAUUAAUCGCCUUUAGAGCGGCCCGCGUCUGAUUAGCUAGUUGGUUGAGGUAAUGGCUCACCAAGGCGACGAUCAGUAGCUGGUCUGAGAGGAUGAUCAGCCACUUUGGGACUGAGACACGGCCCAAACUCCUACGGGAGGCAGCAGUGGGGAAUCUUGCGCAAUGGGCGAAAGCCUGACGCAGCCAUGCCGCGUGAAUGAUGAAGGUCUUAGGAUUGUAAAAUUCUUUCACCGGGGACGAUAAUGACGGUACCCGGAGAAGAAGCCCCGGCUAACUUCGUG
rnacentral:rRNA from 1 species